AGAUUCUCCGAAAAUAAGUUUUUUGAAUUUACCAUAAAUAUCUGAACUACUCUGAAGUGAAUAGGAUUUUCAGUAUGUCCAGACAUUGACUUGGUGAACUGCAGUAAAAAAGUUUCUCCUGGAAUACAUAGAGUCAUUAUAGAUUCUUUGAGGUUGCAUCUCCUAAAUACUGAGCAGAAAAAAGAAAUUUGUUCUCUGAUGUACGAUGAAAUUAGUCUAUGUGAAGAGUUGCACUUUGGCGAUCACCACGUUGUCUAUGAGUAAGUGGUGAGACAAGCUGAGGAUGGUAUAAAAGAGUAAGUCCAAAACUUCAAGUGAAA